AAAUUAUUGAUUAUUACAACAAGUGAUUUGAUUGUAUAAAAUUUCUUUACAUUGCUGGUAAUUAAUAUUAGCUGAACUCAUAGAAAUGCUUAUACUACAGAAUUUUCUCCAUUUAUUGUACAAAUCACCAUUUUUUUUCUCCGUUUUCAUAUAAGUCACCAUACUCGCUCCAUCCCCAUUUUUUUCUCUGUUUUCAUAUUUUAGAUGUAGCUCAAUUUCAUGGAUUCAAAGGGUUCUCUGAGCAUAUAGAUAUAAUAUAAUGAACAUACUGUUUCGCCAUUUGAAGAUAAUAUUUUUUUCAAUAUUUGUAUCAGUUCUAGUUCCAUUAUCAAGUAUUCGUCAAUAUCACUCAAAAUAUCUGCGACACUAUCAUCUGUUUAGUAUUUGGCAUCUCACAAUCCUUCUGAUAAAGGUUCACUACAUUAUGCAUCUGUGAUUCAGACAAAAUUGAAAAUUCGUGAUUUUCUAUCUGUUUCGCGAUUUUUGUUGAAAAUUGAAAAUUCGUAAUUUAAAUGACAUUUGACAGACCUAUGGGCAGUAAAUAGGAAAAAGAGCUUUCUAGGAUGGAGCUAGUCGAAUAUUCUUAUUCAACGUAUUGUUGAAAGAUCACAAUUCGUACACUAUAAAAUGAGAAGUCUAGUUAUGUCUAAAACUGAACUGUAGAAGUAAUUCUGCAUUCCAUGGUAAUCUGAGGAUAAAUCAGAGCAGCCAUUAUUUGCUUUCAUUUUUCAGCGUCUAUCUGUCAUACAGCUUCACAGUUUUUUUCUCUUUUAGAAACAAAGAACCAGUGGGCACGCGAUGAUCCUGCAUUUAUUGUUAUAUAUGCAGUCUUCUGUUGGUGGUUGCUACUUUAGCAUACUGCACUGCGUACGUCUGCCAUACUCUGCUACUCAUUUUGGUCUAAGAUCACAGAUUGAUAAACUCAACUACUUUCCUUGAGAAUUGUAAAACUUUGCCUUAUUCAGAAAAUAUUUUAUGAUUUCAUAGAUUGAAUGAAGUUAUUUAUGGUUUAGAGGAGCCCAACACUUCAGUUUUAUUGUACUAAUAUCAUCCAUGUGAUGUUGAGCUCGCGAGUUUUAUAAUGUAAAUGCGCUCCAAUUAGAUAUUAAAUUCUGUGUAUUCUUAUUUGUUUAUGUUCUUUUUGAUGCUGAAUCAUGUUGCAAUCUGCAUCUUUCAUUAGUUUCAGGUAUGAUCGUACUGCAGGACAUGCUAUAUUUAUUUGUUCUCUCAGUAUUGCUUUUCAUUUUAUACUCACUGGAUAUACUUUGGCAACAUGUUGCUGGUAAGGGCUAGUAUCGUUUGAAAUUCGAUACAACCUCAUCAUGGUUCCCUUUCUGUUUAACUUUAGAUUAGUCUUCAAAUAAUUUUUUACAAUUUUGCCUUUUUGUUCCCUUCUAUUGUAUACGUAAUGUCGUUCCUUGGUGGAUUUGAUAAUAAUUAUGUUGAAGUAAACCCAAAAGCCUUCAAAUUGAAGGACAAGAAUAUGCAAUAAGUGAGAGACUACUGGUUAUUGCUCAUUUGGCAGCAAGUGUCAUUUCUCUUGGAUUAUGCUAAUAUUGUUUGUGUUUUUAUGGCUGCUGAUAUGUUGGAAUUAUAUUAAAUUUCUAGAUAAUUACUUCCUUCUCUUAUAUGUUUCUUCUCCGCUCUAUCUUUUCCAGAAAAUAGCUGAGAUGGCUCACGCACAUUGUGUAUGUCCCUGUACUGUCCCAUCAGUUGGCACUUGCAACAGGUAUCUGCAGAUGCUUCUUGUUCUGGUAACGUGAACCUUCUUGUGGUAACAUUCUCAAGAUGCUGGUUACCUUAAAUGGUCUGUUAUUUUUCAGAUAUUGUGAUGCAAUCAGCUACUAAGUUAAUAUCUGGCCAUAGUGAUCUGAUGGGGGGCGUACUUGCUGUCACAGGAGAAAGGUUUUUCUUCUUUUAUAUGGUUUCAUGGCUUGAUUUACGAUUAUCCUAUGUUUUCUCGUCAUCCUUAGUUCCCUUCAGUUACUUUUUAUGGUCAAAAGUAUCAGAUCACCCUGAUCAAACGUAAAAAACUUGAAAAACAACCUCUUUUUCAUAAGCUCGCUUAGUAGUUAGUAGAACCAAUUACCUGAAGUCUCAAUUACUAAGUAUCUGUUGCAUAAUUGGUCUCUCGGGAAAUUAUUAAUUACCUCAAUAGAACACUAGAAAUAUUUAAACAAUAGUAGUUUCUAGUGUAAAAUUCGUGUUUUACUUAGAAACAAAUAGAGUACAUGCUAAUUUUAUUCUAAAACAAGCAUAUCUUCUUAAAGCUGACAAAUUAUGUAACCUCCUUAUUAGGUCAUUUCUCUUAAAAGAUUCAAUCACGUAAAGAUUCUCAGGAAUUUUAAUCCCAACACAUACAAGCUAGUAAAUUCACAUUCUUUCAACGCAUCUUGUUCAGAUAUUGUGGUAUCGAGUUAAUGUAUUGCCUGACUGAAGCUGGGACGUAUCACAUUUGACAGUUGUAAUGUGGGGGUUGUGUAAAGUCUAAAUUGGAGCCUUUCUACUAGGUUGAAGCUGCAUAUCAUAAGUUCCCCUUAUGCAGGCAUAACUUACUUUUUCCCGAAGACAGUUUGAAUGAAAUUGACAUAAAUAGAGCUAAAUGGAUACAUAGGAUUCUUCUAGUCUGUAUCAACUAAUUUGGGACUGAAGUAUGGUUGAUUGACACUGACAUGCUCACCUCUUAUUUUUGACUGUUAUCUAGUGAGGAGAAGUUAUGUUGCGCUCAAAUUCACCUCAUUGCGUUAACCUCUUUGUUCAUUUCUGCCAUGUCAGGAAAAAGUAGAGAGUCCUUUAUGUUAACUGAGUGUUUGAGAUUGCUAAAAGUAAUUAUUUCAGAAUUUUUUGAAAACUGUGAUAUGGCCAAACCUGGUAAAUACAUCUUAUUUAGCUUCAUAGGUUGAUUUGGUUUGAGAUUGUAACCUUUUUAAAAAAAAAAAAUAGUGGAGAUUCUUAAUAAGGUUUGAUUUUUCCAUUGUAUUUUAGUUUUUCUGUCACAUAUAUAUAUUAGUCUUAUUAAUGCAGUAGAAAUUGUGAGAAAUGAAUUGCUUAGCUGGAGGCUAAGAUGAUGUUACGUUGGGCCUCUGGGGUAAACUACAUCUAGUUCCUAGUUACUUGUUGUGAUAGCAGGAUUUGUGUUGCGAUGGCGACAAUGCAUCUUGAUAAACUGUUAAACUUCAAAAAUUGUUUAGUCUGGUAUGUGAGUUUAUUCGUUCUACAUUUGGUAAAAUCUUGUAUGGUCAUAUCUUUGCAUUUCAUUUUGUUGACAAAGUUCCAUCAUAUGGUUGGAAAAUUGAUUUACCCAGAUUCUGUUUUCCUGCCUUUUUUGUCAUUGAAAGAAAUUGCACUGGUAGAUCUGCCUCCAACACAUCCCAUAAGACUGGAUCUUGCACUUAAUUUCUCUGUCUUCUACUUUGAGAUACUGAACUCAUGUUACAAAGCUUGUAGUAUGGUGAAACAGGUAAAGUUUGGUGCUUUUGCUGCAGAUAUGAUGUAAAAUUUAUAUGCUUCGCCUGCAGUUAUUAUAUUUUCUAAGUAGUUGCAUAUCUUUCAAUUGUGAAUGCAUAUUUACACAUGGCAGAAUUGUUUGAUAGCCACACUGAAAUUCCUGCAGCAAACAUCUCUAUAGUAUAUAGUUGUAUUCAAGCUGAACAUCUACUCAAGCUGUGGUGCAAGAAAUUUAAUCGGCGGAUAUCUACUCAAGUUGAACAUCUUAAAACAGUAUAAUAUAUAGUUGUAUUUUCAAUUCUCUUUUCAAUGAAUAUGGUCAUAUCAUUUUUCUUUCUGUGCCUGCAGCAAAACAAUCUAUUCAAGUCUCGUGAAGAGAAAUACAAGUUAAGGAUCAGAGUCUUCGAAGCCCUUGCGACUGGGACUAGUGAAAAAUAACAGUAGUUAUGGACUUCACACAGCCCGCUUUGUGCCUAGUUGUAAUGCUUUAGCAUGCUUUGUGUGUGCCUUUUUUAACAGUUAAUUCUUCUGAGGAGAAAUCUGAUGCACUCUUUCUUGUAUCCAGUUAUCUUGGUGCUCUAAUAAGUUUCGCGAGAUAUCUGAAAUUGAUGGACUGUUAUCUUUGAUCCAUUAAAAUGACGUGCAUUACUUAGAUGCUUUUCUCAAAGACAUUGAUGUUGGCAGUUACAUUUUCUCUUUUGAGAUUGUUUUCCACAAGUCAGAGCAUAAAAUGAUCUAUGCCACUGGAGGAAGAACAAAAGUACCCAUAUACGUUACAGGAGUUAUUGAAGUUGAUAAUGCAGAGAUUUCUGUUCUUAACAGUGAUCUUGGGAAUAUUGAAACUCGUAAGAAGUAUGUCCUUUUCUUUUCUUAUCCUUCUUAUCUCCUUGGUGAUAUCCAUUUUGAAGAGGUUUCCUUUUU